rnacentral:rRNA from 1 species
UACGUAGGGUGCAAGCGUUAAUCGGAGUUACUGGGCGUAAAGCGUGCGCAGGCGGUUCGGAAAGAAAGGUGUGAAAUCCCAGGGCUUAACCUUGGAAUGGCACUUUUAACCACCGAGCUAGAGUGUGUCAGAGGGAGGUGGAAUUCCGCGUGUAGCAGUGAAAUGCGUAGAUAUGCGGAGGAACACCGAUGGCGAAGGCAGCCUCCUGGGAUAACACUGACGCUCAUGCACGAAAGCGUGGGGAGCAAACAGG